rnacentral:rRNA from 1 species
CCUACGGGAGGCAGCAGUGAGGAAUAUUGGUCAAUGGGCGGAAGCCUGAACCAGCCAAGUCGCGUGAGGGAUUAAGGCCCUGCGGGUCGUAAACCUCUUUUGCCGGGGAGCAGUGGUCCGGACGUGUCCGGGCCGGGAGAGUACCCGGAGAAAAAGCAUCGGCUAACUCCGUGCCAGCAGCCGCGGUAAUACGGAGGAUGCGAGCGUUAUCCGGAUUUAUUGGGUGUAAAGGGUGCGUAGACGGGAAAACAAGUUAGUUGUGAAAUCCCUCGGCUUAACUGAGGAACUGCAACUAAAACUAUUUUUCUUGAGUGCAGGAGAGGUAAGUGGAAUUCCUAGUGUAGCGGUGAAAUGCGUAGAUAUUAGGAGGAACACCAGUGGCGAAGGCGACUUACUGGACUGUAACUGACGUUGAGGCACGAAAGUGUGGGGAGCAAACAGGAUUAGAUACCCCGGUAGUC